CAUCCCUUGACAUCCAGUGAAUUUUCUAGAGAUAGAUUAGUGCCUUCGGGAACACUGAGACAGGUGCUGCAUGGCUGUCGUCAGCUCGUGUUGUGAGAUGUUGGGUUAAGUCCCGCAACGAGCGCAACCCUUAUCCUUAGUUGCCAGCACGUAAAGGUGGGAACUCUGGGGAGACUGCCGGUGAUAAACCGGAGGAAGGUGGGGACGACGUCAAGUCAUCAUGGCCCUUACGGGAUGGGCUACACACGUGCUACAAUGGCGCGUACAAUGGGAAGCUAACUCGCGAGAGUGUGCGGAUCUCAAAAAGCGCGUCGUAGUCCGGAUUGGAGUCUGCAACUCGACUCCAUGGAGUCGGAAUCGCUAGUAAUCGUGGAUCAGAAUGCCACGGUGAAUACGUUCCC
rnacentral:rRNA from 1 species